rnacentral:rRNA from 1 species
AGCAGCCGCGGUAAUUCCAGCUCCAAUAGCGUAUAUUAAAGUUGUUGCAGUUAAAAAGCUCGUAGUUGAAUUUCGGGGUCAGUAGAUUGGUCGUGCCACUGGUAUGUACUGGUCUUACUGGCUCCUCCUUCCUGAUGAACCGUAAUGCCAUUAAUUUGGUGUUGCGGGGAGACUGGACUUGUUACUUUGAAAAAAUUAGAGUGUUUAAAGCAGGCUAACGCUUGAAUACAUUAGCAUGGAAUAAUGAAAUAGGACGUUCGAUCUUAUUUUGUUGGUUUCUAGGAUUGACGUAAUGAUUAAUAGGGAUAGUUGGGGGCAUUAGUAUUCAAUUGUCAGAGGUGAAAUUCUUGGAUUUAUUGAAGACUAACUACUGCGAAAAGCAUUUGCCAAGGAUGUUUUCAUUAAUCAAGAACGAAAGUUAGGGGAUCGAAGACGAUCAGAUACCGUCGUAGUCUUAACCAUAAACUAUGCCGACUAGGGAUCGGAUGAUGUUAAUUUUUAAUGACUCAUUCGGCGCCUU